AACGAACGCUGGCGGCAUGCCUAACACAUGCAAGUCGAACGAGACCUUCGGGUCUAGUGGCGCACGGGUGCGUAACGCGUGGGAACCUGCCCUUAGGUUCGGAAUAACUCCCCGAAAGGGGUGCUAAUACCGGAUAAUGUCUUCGGACCAAAGAUUUAUCGCCUUUGGAUGGGCCCGCGUUGGAUUAGCUAGUUGGUAGGGUAAAAGCCUACCAAGGCGACGAUCCAUAGCUGGUCUGAGAGGAUGAUCAGCCACACUGGGACUGAGACACGGCCCAGACUCCUACGGGAGGCAGCAGUGGGGAAUAUUGGAAAAUGGGCGAAAGCCUGAUCCAGCAAGGCCGCGUGAGUGAUGAAGGCCUUAGGGUUGUAAAGCUCUUUUACCCGGGAUGAUAAUGACAGUACCGGGAGAAUAAGCUCCGGCUAACUCCGUG
rnacentral:rRNA from 1 species